GUCGAGAAUAAUUCACAAUGGGGGAAACCCUGAUGGUGCAACGCCGCGUGGAGGAUGAAGGUCUUCGGAUUGUAAACUCCUGUCAUGCGUGAACAAGGUUGCUUGGUUAAUACCUGGGCAAAUUGAUGGUAACGCAAGAGGAAGAGACGGCUAACUCUGUGCCAGCAGCCGCGGUAAUACAGAGGUCUCAAGCGUUGUUCGGAAUCACUGGGCGUAAAGGGUGCGUAGGUGGCGUGGUAAGUCAGAUGUGAAAGCCCGGGGCUCAACCUCGGAACUGCAUCCGAUACUGCCAUGCUAGAGUACUGGAGAGGUGACUAGAAUUCUCGGUGUAGCAGUGAAAUGCGUAGAUAUCGAGAGGAAUACCAAAGGCGUAGGCAGGUCACUGGACAGUUACUGACACUGAGGCACGAAGGCCAGGGGAGCGAACGGGAUUAGAAACCCGAGUAGUCC
rnacentral:rRNA from 1 species